UACGUAGGUGGCAAGCGUUGUCCGGAAUUACUGGGCGUAAAGGGCGCGUAGGCGGCCUGCUAUGUCGAACGUGAAAUCCCCGGGCUCAACCCGGGAACUGCGUCCGAAACUGGCAGGCUUGAAUCCGGGAGAGGGAUGUGGAAUUCCAGGUGUAGCGGUGAAAUGCGUAGAUAUCUGGAGGAACACCGGUGGCGAAGGCGGCAUCCUGGACCGGUAUUGACGCUGAGGAGCGAAAGCAUGGGGAGCGAACAGG
rnacentral:rRNA from 1 species